rnacentral:rRNA from 1 species
UGCCCCAGUAACGGCGAGUGAAGCGGCAAGAGCUCAAAUUUGAAAGCUGGCUCCUUCGGGGUCCGCAUUGUAAUUUGCAGAGGAUGCUUCGGGAGCGGUCCCCAUCUAAGUGCCCUGGAACGGGACGUCAUAGAGGGUGAGAAUCCCGUAUGGGAUGGGGUGUCCGCGCCCGUGUGAAGCUCCUUCGACGAGUCGAGUUGUUUGGGAAUGCAGCUCUAAAUGGGUGGUAAAUUUCAUCUAAAGCUAAAUAUUGGCCGGAGACCGAUAGCGCACAAGUAGAGUGAUCGAAAGAUGAAAAGCACUUUGAAAAGAGAGUUAAAAAGCACGUGAAAUUGUUGAAAGGGAAGCGCUUGCGACCAGACUCGCUCGCGGGGUUCAGCCGGCAUUCGUGCCGGUGUACUUCCCCGCGGGCGGGCCAGCGUCGGUUUGGGCGGUCGGUCAAAGGCCCUCGGAAGGUAACGCCCCCAGGGGCGUCUUAUAGCCGAGGGUGCAAUGCGACCUGCCUAGACCGAGGAACGCGCUUCGGCUCGGACGCUGGCAUAAUGGUCGUAAACGACCCGUCUUGAAACACGGACCAAGGAGUCUAACAUCUACGCGAGUGUUCGGGUGUCAAACCCGUGCGCGAAGUGAAAGCGAACGGAGGUGGGAACCCUUACGGGUGCACCAUCGACCGAUCCUGAAGUCUUCGGAUGGAUUUGAGUAAGAGCGUAGCUGUUGGGACCCGAAAGAUGGUGAACUAUGCCUGAAUAGGGCGAAGCCAGAGGAAACUCUGGUGGAGGCUCGUAGCGGGUUCUGACGUGCAAAUCGAUCGUCGAAUUUGGGGUAUAG